rnacentral:rRNA from 1 species
ACGUAGGGUGCAAGCGUUAAUCGGAAUUACUGGGCGUAAAGCGUGCGCAGGCGGCUUUGCAAGACAGAUGUGAAAUCCCCGGGCUCAACCUGGGAACUGCAUUUGUGACUGCAUGGCUAGAGUACGGUAGAGGGGGAUGGAAUUCCGCGUGUAGCAGUGAAAUGCGUAGAUAUGCGGAGGAACACCGAUGGCGAAGGCAAUCCCCUGGACCUGUACUGACGCUCAUGCACGAAAGCGUGGGGAGCAAACAGGAUUAGAUACCCUGGUAGUCCACGCCCUAAACGAUGUCAACUGGUUGUUGGACGGCUUGCUGUUCAGUAACGAAGCUAACGCGUGAAGUUGACCGCCUGGGGAGUACGGCCGCAAGGUUG